GCCUUCGUGGUGUAGUGGUCAGGAAGCUCGACGCAUAACCGAGAGGUCCGUGGUUCGAUUCCCGACGAAGGCG
rnacentral:tRNA from 1 species